GUGGUGGCUCAGUGGUAGAGCACUGGCUUUGCAUGCCUGAGGCCCUGGGUUCGAUUCCUCAGCACCACG
rnacentral:tRNA from 1 species